rnacentral:rRNA from 1 species
UACGGAGGGUGCAAGCGUUAAUCGGAAUUACUGGGCGUAAAGCGCGCGUAGGCGGUUUUUUGAGUCGGAUGUGAAAGCCCCGGGCUCAACCUGGGAACUGCAUCCGAUACUGGAAGACUAGAAUGCGGGAGAGGGAGGUAGAAUUCCAUGUGUAGCAGUGAAAUGCGUAGAUAUAUGGAGGAAUACCAGUGGCGAAGGCGGCCUCCUGGCUCGACAUUGACGCUGAGGUGCGAAAGCGUGGGGAGCAAACGGG